AAUGGAUCCUAAAGAAAGUAUUUUAUUUGAAUUAAAAGUAUGCUUCACCUUAAUGUACUCUCUCAUUUAAAAGUUCUCCUUUUCAAAAAUAUUGUUUUGCAAAUUUCAAAUCACCGACGCUGGCUGUCAAAAUCAUGAUGACGCUAACCAAUAAGAUACUGUUUCUGACAAAAACAAAACAGUCAGCGUCGCGAAGAAACGCACAAAAAAGGCAGUUUGUUUUAUUCAAUAUUUCGCGAUCGAUCAUCUGCCGCGGCCUUCGAGGAGUCUUUAAGAAAACGCCUGCAUAAAGGACAAUUGUAAACUCAAAACAUCUACAAGGGAUGCUACCAGUUCUGACAAGAAUGUCUGGUGGUCAAAUUUUAAUAUGCUCAGCGAGACAGCCCCAAUUAGACAUAUUUGCAGAAAAAUACCAAGAAGAUACCGAAAACCGGCGGAAGAUCUUUUCGGAAAAAGUCGAGACUGGAGAUCGUGACAGUGACGUCACUCCCAGCUACAUUAAUCUUGGCCCCGUUUCAAAUUAUCGACGUUUACUAAAACAACGAUUUCUUAUAAAAAAUAAGGUUUUGGAAUGAACAAUAAAUAAAUUGAAUAUUUGAGAACAAAAUUUUAAUUAUUAUUAAUAAUAAUCCAAACUUUUCAUUUCGAAAGAGAAAACUA